rnacentral:rRNA from 1 species
GGGGCGUGCUUACCAUGCAAGUCGAACGGUAAGGCCCUUUCGGGGGUACACGAGUGGCGAACGGGUGAGUAACACGUGGGUAAUCUGCCCUGCACUUCGGGAUAAGCCUGGGAAACCGGGUCUAAUACCGGAUAUGAGCUCCUGCCGCAUGGUGGGGGUUGGAAAGUUUUUCGGUGCAGGAUGAGUCCGCGGCCUAUCAGCUUGUUGGUGGGGUAAUGGCCUACCAAGGCGACGACGGGUAGCCGGCCUGAGAGGGUGAUCGGCCACACUGGGACUGAGACACGGCCCAGACUCCUACGGGAGGCAGCAGUGGGGAAUAUUGCACAAUGGGCGAAAGCCUGAUGCAGCGACGCCGCGUGGGGGAUGACGGUCUUCGGAUUGUAAACUCCUUUCAGUAGGGACGAAGCGAAAGUGACGGUACCUGCAGAAGAAGCACCGGCCAACUACGUGCCAGCAGCCGCGGUAAUACGUAGGGUGCAAGCGUUGUCCGGAAUUACUGGGCGUAAAGAGCUCGUAGGCGGUUUGUCACGUCGUCUGUGAAAUCCUCCAGCUCAACUGGGGGCGUGCAGGCGAUACGGGCAGACUUGAGUACUACAGGGGAGACUGGAAUUCCUGGUGUAGCGGUGAAAUGCGCAGAUAUCAGGAGGAACACCGGUGGCGAAGGCGGGUCUCUGGGUAGUAACUGACGCUGAGGAGCGAAAGCAUGGGGAGCAAACAGGAUUAGAUACCCUGGUAGUCCAUGCCGUAAACGGUGGGCGCUAGGUGUGGGGUCCUUCCACGGAUUCCGUGCCGUAGCUAACGCAUUAAGCGCCCCGCCUGGGGAGUACGGCCGCAAGGCUAAAACUCAAAGGAAUUGACGGGCGCCCGCACAAGCGGCGGAGCAUGUGGAUUAAUUCGAUGCAACGCGAAGAACCUUACCUAGGCUUGACAUAUACUGGACGACUGCCGAAGAGGUCGUUUCCCUUGAGGUUGGAUUCCAGGGG